AUGGACUCAUUUCGAUUAACAACUUCUGGUAAGCAUCGUUGAGCAUUUCUUUUUAGUGUUGUACUAGCGCGGGUGCUCAUAAAACUCGCAAAGUUUACCUCACGUGUGAGACUGCAGCGAACGCGGCUUUGUACGAAACGUAAGUUAAAAAUAAAUGACCGAUAUCAUUUUCAUCUGAUCUAAUUAUUGUUGUGGGUCUAGAGUGUUUACGCUGCAGAAAACUGACGAGCAACACUACAGUCCUCCAACAAACAGAUGAGGAAGAGGAGGAUGGUGGCGGUCCAGCAUACAAAGAGAAAGUAACCAAGAGAAGUGUCAGCGCUGAAGGAAUGACAGACGUUACUCAGACACCUGUGAACACAGCAGUGUUUGGAGUCCAAGACAGUGAUCUUUAUUAUAUAUUUAUAUAUUUAUUAUACUCCUGACUGGACUAGCAAGGCGUAUUAGAGACAAUGAGAAAGUGCAGCAAUAAAAGCUCCCAAACAAAGAUGUCACCAGAUUAAGAUGUGGAAAGACACCGCAACCAUAAAUCCUGAGUGAUUUGAAUAUGGGCAACAACCGAGGAAAAGUACUCACUGUUUCACUCAAAAAUGAUCCAUG